rnacentral:rRNA from 1 species
AGCGAACGCUGGCGGCAGGCCUAACACAUGCAAGUCGAACGAACUCUUCGGAGUUAGUGGCGGACGGGUGAGUAACACGUGGGAACGUGCCUUUAGGUUCGGAAUAACUCAGGGAAACUUGUGCUAAUACCGAAUGUGCCCCCCGAUUCAUUUUGGGGUGGGAAAGAUUUAUCGCCUUUAGAGCGGCCCGCGUCUGAUUAGCUAGUUGGUGAGGUAAAGGCUCACCAAGGCGACGAUCAGUAGCUGGUCUGAGAGGAUGAUCAGCCACAUUGGGACUGAGACACGGCCCAAACUCCUACGGGAGGCAGCAGCGGGGAAUCUUGCGCAAUGGGCGAAAGCCUGACGCAGCCAUGCCGCGUGAAUGAUGAAGGUCUUAGGAUUGUAAAAUUCUUUCACCGGGGGCGAUAAUGACGGUACCCGGAGAAGAAGCCCCGGCUAACUUCGUGCCAGCAGCCGCGGUAAUACGAAGGGGGCUAGCGUUGCUCGGAAUUACUGGGCGUAAAGGGAGCGUAGGCGGACAUUUAAGUCAGGGGUGAAAUCCCGGGGCUCAACCUCGGAAUUGCCUUUGAUACUGGGUGUCUUGAGUAUGAGAGAGGUGUGUGGAACUCCGAGUGUAGAGGUGAAAUUCGUAGAUAUUCGGAAGAACACCAGUGGCGAAGGCGACACACUGGCUCAUUACUGACGCUGAGGCUCGAAAGCGUGGGGAGCAAACAGG